UUAGGAAUUUUGCACAAUGGACGAAAGUCUGAUGCAGCGACAUCGCGUGAAGGAUGAAGGCCCUCGGGUCGUAAACUUCUUUUAUUUGAUCAUGAAGAUCAUUUGAAUAAGGAACUACUAACUACGUGCCAGCAGUCGCGGUAAUACGUAGGUUCCAAGCGUUACCCGGUUUUACUGGGCGUAAAGCGUCUGUAGGUGGUACGACAAGUCUUGUUUCAAAGACCUUGGCUCAACCAAGGGAAGGGGCAGGAUACUGUCAUACUAGAAUCAUAUCGGAGUUGCUGGAAUUUGUAGUGUAGGGGUAAAAUCCGUGGAUACUACAAAGAACACCAAGAGCGAAGGCGGGCAACUAGGUAUGUAUUGACACUGAGAGACCAAAGCUAGGGAAGCAAAUCAGAUU
rnacentral:rRNA from 1 species